UCUCUGCUCAGACUGCCCUGUGAAACGGGGAGGAAGGUGAGGAUGACGUCAAGUCAGCAUGGCCCUUACGCCUAGGGCUGCACACGUACUACAAUGCCCAGUACAGAAAGAGCCGAACCAGCAAUGGCUAGGAAAUCAAUAAAACUGGGCCCAGUUCGGAUUGUGGGCUGCAACUCGCCCGCAUGAAGCCGGAAUCGCUAGUAAUGGCGCAUCAGCUACGGCGCCGUGAAUACGUUCCCGGGCCUUGUACACACCGCCCGUCACAUCAUGGAAGU
rnacentral:rRNA from 1 species